rnacentral:rRNA from 1 species
AUGCGAAGCCGCGAGGCAGAGCGAACCCCGAAAAAGCCGUCCCAGUUCGGAUCGCAGGCUGCAACCCGCCUGCGUGAAGUCGGAAUCGCUAGUAAUCGCGGAUCAGCAUGCCGCGGUGAAUACGUUCCCGGGCCUUGUACACACCGCCCGUCACACCAUGAGAGUCGGGAACACCCGAAGUCCGUAGCCUAACCGGAAGGGGGGCGCGGCCGAAGGUGGGUUCGAUAAUUGGGGUGAAGUCGUAACAAGGUAAC